rnacentral:lncRNA from 1 species
ACAAUUUCCAUUUCUUUGAUACCCGUCUUUUUUCUUUUCUUUUUCUUUUCACAUCCACACAACCAUGAGCCUUUUCUUUGUUUUUUUCUUUCUUUUCUUUUUCUUUUCUCUAUGGUUUCAAGGGUGAUUUCUUUUUGUUGUUUCUUUUCAUACUUUCACCCUUUCAUAAAAACUCACUUCUCCAAGUUUCUAAUCAACCCUUUUUUUUUUCUUUACUCUCCCCAACUUUAGAUUCCAUAACCAAUUUUAU